UAACCUCUAAUUUCAGCUGAUUGGAUGAGAAGUGAAAUGAAUUCAAGAAACAAGAGAAGUCCACCGGAUGGUCAUCUAAUGACUGACAAAAACUACAAAUGUUUGACUCCCUCUGCAAAAAAACAUUUUUUAAAUGAGGGAUUUAUAGAUUUCAGCAGCAGGAGCUCCAUGAAAGUCCAAACUAAAACCAAAAUAAGAUUUCUCUGUCCACAUUUUCCCUCAGCAAAUACAAACUGUAAGUCUAAUGGAUUUGUCUGUAGCUGCAUUUCAUUACAAAUGUUUGCAAAACCUUUGUUGGUAUUCAUGAAAAUCCGGGGGAGAAGGUGUAAAUCUCACGCCAGGCCGCACCCAGCAGUUAGACCCAAUCUUUUU